rnacentral:rRNA from 1 species
ACUCAAAUGAAUAGACGGGAACCCGCACAAGUGGUGGAUCAUGCGGCUUAAUUCGAUUGUAAGCGAGGAACCUCACCAAGACUUGACAUGUAUUGUUCAAAUAGCGAAAGCUAUUGGCCCGCAAGGGCGAAUUACACAGGUGAUGCACGGUCGUCGUCAGCUCGUGUCGUGAGAUGUUCGGUUAAGUCCGAAAACGAGCGCAACCCUAAUCUCUAGUUAUGUAAUGUCUAGAGAGACUGCCUGGGUGUAACCAGGAGGAAGGCUAGGAUGACGUCAGAUCAGCGUGUCCCUUACGUCUUGGGCUGCACGCAUGAUACAAUGGGAAUAGGACAACGGGACGCUAAAUCGCGAGAUGGAGCAAAUCCCACAAACCUACCCUCAGUUCGGAUUGAAGUCUGCAACCCGACUUCAUGAAGCUGGAAUCACUAGUAAUCGCUAAUCAGCCUCGUAGCGGUGAAUACGUUCUCGGGUUUUGUACACACCGCCCGU